UACGAAGGGGGCUAGCGUUGCUCGGAAUCACUGGGCGUAAAGCGCACGUAGGCGGACUCUUAAGUCAGGGGUGAAAUCCUGGAGCUCAACUCCAGAACUGCCUUUGAUACUGGGAGCCUUGAGUUCGGGAGAGGUGAGUGGAACUGCGAGUGUAGAGGUGAAAUUCGUAGAUAUUCGCAAGAACACCAGUGGCGAAGGCGGCUCACUGGCCCGAUACUGACGCUGAGGUGCGAAAGCGUGGGGAGCAAACAGGG
rnacentral:rRNA from 1 species